AAACAUGAGGAAAGAUAAUAGUCCAGCAAUGCGCUCAUAAUAAUUCCCACAUACCUGCUUCCCAAAGUUGAUUCAGAUGCUACUUUGUUUUAAAAGCUAUCCUAUGUACCAGCAAUUUUCAAUAGUGAUCCUAGGCAGUUACUUAGGUUGAUUAUAGCAAUUUUGCUACAUCAUGAUAUAGCAAAUUGCUAUAUUUUUGCUAUAUCAUGCUAUAUUAUGAUUGCGGUCUUUUUAUUUUCCAAAUCUUUAAUUCAUUUUAAAAGAAAGGUUUGUUCCAGGAUGGCAAAUACAGUGGUUGAAGCUGGGGGCAUGAUGAUAAAAGAACUCUAGAACUUCAGGAUUCUCCAUUGUUCUGGCAUUGCUGCCCACCAGCAGAGGAUCAGGCUGACAUCUUCAGGAGGCAUAUGGAGGUAAUGGUUAACUUUGCUACAGUGAAGACCAAGGUAAAUUGGGUGCACUGAAGAGAAAAACCUGACCACUUCUGCAGCUGUGCAUCUGGAGUCUGAGUUGUACUGCGACAUUAGCUCUUUUGACUAGAUGUGAUGACAGACUGUCUUUGGUCCAUUCUCUUUUAUUGCCUUGGAAGAGAAUAAAUGAGGAGUAGUUCUCACCCAUUGCAGCUGAGGCAUCACACCUGUAAUGGGAUUAACAAGAUGAUAAUAUAUCUUUUGCCAAGACCACAUACUAGCAGACCUCCAGUGUGGGAAGACGCAGGAGGAGCAAGGGAUUCAGUUCAACCACCAAUGGCCAAAGACUCAAUCAACGAUGCCUGCAUCAUGAAGCCUCAACAGAAACUCUUGAACAAUGAGGUUUGAGAAGCUUCUGCGUCUGUGACCAUAUCAAUGGCCUGGGAGGCUGGCACACACAGAGGGCAUGGAAGUGCUGUGUACUCCUCCCCAUACAUUUCCCUAUACAUCUUUUCCUUUUGGCUGCUUGUGAGUUGUAUUCUUUUUUGUUGUUGUUGUUUUUAAGAUGGGGGUCUU
rnacentral:lncRNA from 1 species